GUCCUUGUAGCAUAAUCGAUAGCGCGUUGAACUUCUAAUUCAAAGAUCAUGGAUUCGAAUCCUACCUGGGAUU